GGUCCCGUAGCUUAAUGGAUAAAGCCUCGGUCUUCUAAACCGAUGAUUCCGCGUUCGAAUCGCGGCGGGAUCGCCA
rnacentral:tRNA from 1 species